rnacentral:rRNA from 1 species
UUGGUUAAGUUAGAAAGGGCGCACGGUGGAUGCCUUGGCACUAGGAGCCGAAGAAGGACGGGACUAACACCGAUAUGCUUUGGGGAGCUGUACGUAAGCGUUGAUCCAGAGAUUUCCGAAUGGGGGAACCCACUAUCUUUAGUCGGAUAGUAUCCUUACGUGAAUACAUAGCGUGAGGAAGGCAGACCCAGGGAACUGAAACAUCUAAGUACCUGGAGGAAGAGAAAGAAAAAUCGAUUUCCUGAGUAGCGGCGAGCGAAACGGAAAGAGCCCAAACCAAGAAGCUUGCUUCUUGGGGUUGUAGGACACUCUAUACGGAGUUACAAAAGAAAGUUAUAAAUGAAGCGGUCUGGAAAGGCCCGCCAAAGACGGUAACAGCCCGGUAGUUGAAAUGGCUUUCCCUCCAGAGUGGAUCCUGAGUACGGCGGAACACGUGAAAUUCCGUCGGAAUCCGGGAGGACCAUCUCCCAAGGCUAAAUACUCCCUAGUGACCGAUAGUGAACCAGUACCGUGAGGGAAAGGUGAAAAGCACCCCGGAAGGGGAGUGAAACAGUUCCUGAAACCGUGUGCCUACAAGUAGUUAGAGCCCGUUAAUGGGUGAUAGCGUGCCUUUUGUAGAAUGAACCGGCGAGUUACGAUUUGUUGCAAGGUUAAGCGGAAAAAGCGGCGCCGUAGCGAAAGCGAGUCUGAAUAGGGCGCAUAAGUAACAGGUCGUAGACCCGAAACCAGGUGAUCUACCCAUGUCCAGGAUGAAGGUAAGGUAAUACUUACUGGAGGUCCGAACCCACGCACGUUGAAAAGUGCGGGGAUGAGGUGUGGGUAGCGGAGAAAUUCCAAUCGAACUUGGAGAUAGCUGGUUCUCUCCGAAAUAGCUUUAGGGCUAGCCUCGAGGUAAAGAGUCAUGGAGGUAGAGCACUGUUUGGACUA